CCACAAGGUGGUGAUCUUACGUCUUCCCAGACAGAAAGUCUCUAUGGAAAACAGACAGGAAGUGAUGUCAGGAACAGGCAGGAAGUUCUACGUAAUACGAAGUACAAAGGAGACGUUACUGGAAGUGGCAGCAGAGGAGGUAUGUCCCAUCUGAGUCACAUAGACAAGUUCUUGAUG